rnacentral:rRNA from 1 species
CGCGGUAAUUCCAGCUCUCAAAAUGUACUUAACCAUUGUUGCGGUUAAAAAGCUCGUAGUUGGAUCUACGCUGCGCGGAACGGUUCGUUCAUUGAGCGUUAACUGUUUCACGUGGCUCUCUUUUGUCGGUUUUCGGCUAGUGUCCUUAACGGGGUGUUAGUUGCGGCUGACGCUUUUACCUUGAAUAAAUUAGAGUGCUUAAAACAGGCGUUUAGCUUGAAUAUGCUAGCAUGGAAUAAUGGAAUAGGACUUUGGUUCGAUUUUAUUGGUUUUAUGAAUUGAAGUAAUGAUUAGUAGGAUCAAACGGGGGCAUCCGUAUUGAUACGUGAGAGGUGAAAUUCUGGGACCGUAGCAAGACGACCGACUGCGAAAGCAUUUGCCAAGAAUGUUUUCAUUAAUCAAGAACGAAAGUUAGGGGAACAAAAGCGAUCAGAUACCGCCCUAGUCCUAACCAUAAACUCUGCCCACUAGCGAUCCGUCGGCGGUUUUUUUGCCCUGAUGGGGAGCUUCCCGGAAACGAAAGUCUUCCGGUUCCGGGGGAAGUAUGGUUGCAAAGCUGAAACUUAAAGAAAUUGACGGAAGGGCACCACCAGGAGUGGAGCCUGCGG